rnacentral:rRNA from 1 species
CGGGCGUAGCAAUACGUCAGCGGCAGACGGGUGAGUAACGCGUGGGAACGUACCUUUUGGUUCGGAACAACACAGGGAAACUUGUGCUAAUACCGGAUAAGCCCUUACGGGGAAAGAUUUAUCGCCGAAAGAUCGGCCCGCGUCUGAUUAGCUAGUUGGUAGGGUAAUGGCCUACCAAGGCGACGAUCUGUAACCGGCCUGAGAGGGCGGUCGGUCACAUUGACACUGACAUACGGGUCAG